rnacentral:hammerhead_ribozyme from 1 species
AUCUAACUGACGAGUCCCAAAUAGGACGAAACGCACGUCGUGGAU